rnacentral:rRNA from 1 species
UACCAACACCCCCGAGUGGUCGGGACGAUUAUUGGGCCUAAAGCAUCCGUAGCCGGUCCUACAAGUCUUCCGUUAAAUCCACCUGCUUAACAGAUGGGCUGCGGAAGAUACUAUAGGGCUAGGAGGCGGGAGAGGCAAGCGGUACUCAGUGGGUAGGGGUAAAAUCCUCUGAUCCAUUGAAGACCACCAGUGGCGAAGGCGGCUUGCCAGAACGCGCUCGACGGUGAGGGAUGAAGCUGGGGGAGCAAACCGG